ACUUAAAGGAAUUGACGGAAGGGCACCACCAGGAGUGGAAUCUGCGGCUUAAUUUGACAACGCGGGAAAACUCACCAGGUCAGGACACGGUAAGGAUUGACGGACUGAAGGCUCUUUCUCGAUUCCGUGGAAAGUGGUGCAUGGCCGUUUUUGGUUGGUGGAUCGAUCCGUCUGGUUAAUUCCGUUAACGAACGAGACCUCGGCACUCCGAAUAGCGCGGCGGACGUCGCGGCCUCCGGGCCGUCUUCCGCACGAGCUUCUUAGAGGGACCGUCCCCCGCCGGGGAAGGAGGUGCGAGGCAACGACAGGUCUGUGAUGCCCUUAGAUGUUCUGGGCCGCACGCGCAUUACACUGACGCGUCCAACGGGUGACUCCCGACCCGAAGGGGCCGGGGAAUCCGCAAGGCGCGUCGUGAUGGGGAUUGAACGUUGCAAUUGUUGUUCACGAACGAG
rnacentral:rRNA from 1 species